AAUAAAAAUAAACAAAGCACGAGGGAGAGGAGGGAAGAAAACCCCAAUAAUUUUUGUUUGUUCCUUCUCAAAGAGAAUGAACAGACACUGAAGAUCCCGCCCCAACCGCACAGCGCGCUGUUUGGGAGCAACGCGAAAUCUGACCCGCAUUCCUCGUUUCCUCUCACUCCUAAAGGCCUCAUCCAAACAGCCCUCUCUGCCUCAGAUCUCCCUGCGAGAUGGAUCAAUUGUCGGCGAUCAGCGAGGACCUGACCGAGAUCGAGGGGCACAUCGCCGAUAAUUUCCGCGUUCUAUCAAAUGUAUUUCAGAAGUUGAAGAAGAUUAAGGAUUCGAAUAGACAGAGCAGGUAGUUGGAAGAGCUCACGGAGAAAAUGCGAGAAUGUAAACGGCUUACCAAGGAGUUCGAUAAGGAAGUCAAAGCUUUGGAGAAUAACUUCGACAGAGAAACCAACAAAAUGUUGAAUGAGAAAAAGCAGUCAAUGUUCAAAGAGUUAAAUUCAUAUGUUGCUUUAAAAAAGAAGCAUGCCACAAAUAUAGACCAUAAACGAAUUGAACUCUUUGAAGGGCCAAAUGAAGGUUUUGGAGACGAAGACCAACAAAUGGCAGACGCCCCAGACAUAGCUAAACCUUCUGCUCCUGCUCCUGCUAGUUCCUCUUAUUCUUUAGAGAGUAUCUUUAGGCAACUAUCUGAAAUGUCCACUCUUCAGGCCUCUAGGCAUAAAGAAGUUUGCUCCCUUAUUAGGAAUAUAGACUUUAGGAUCCAGUCAAUGGUCAGAUGCUUCUGGAUAUUUUUCCCGAUGAUAUUUUAAUUGAUAUGUUUUUGCAUUUUAGGUUUAUUGGUUUCCAUAACAAAUGUUACUUACAAGCAUCUUCUACUUUUGUUGCAGUUCAAAGAGUUAAAUUCAUAUGUUGCUUUAAAAAAGAAGUUAAAACAAAGUAUAAGCUAUUCAUUUAUCCCGUUAGGCAGACCUAGUUUUUUAUUGCUCCUGCAACUUCGAAAGUCAUUAUAUUCUGACUAGUGGAUGUAUUCCUUGAUAUCGAUGACCAAUUCUAGUGUGUGCUAUGCUGCAAUGCAGGCAUGCCACAAAUAUAGACCAUAAACGAAUUGAACUCUCUGAAGGGCCAAAUGAAGGUUUUGGAGACGAAGACCAACAAAUGGCAGACGCCCCAGACAUAGCUAGACCUUCUGUUCUUGGUCCUGCUAGUUUCUCUUAUUCUUUAGAGAGUAUCUCUAGGCAACUAUCUGAAAUAUCCACUCUUCAGGCCUCUAGGCAUAAAGAAAUUUGCACCCUUAUUAGGAAUAUAGACUUUAGGUCCAGGUUUUAGAAGACUACAUAAAUCCUGUAGAUGACCAAAGUAGUGAUGAAUUCUAGAUCUCCUUUGUAUUAGUUUGCAUUGUUCUGUGUUAUUCCUCUUGUUUUUAAAUUAAUAAAAACUUGCCUUAUUAUUUAUUUGCCUUAUUUAUUUGUUUAUGGCUUAUAUUCAGGGGGAGUAAUAAUCAAAAAGAGGAGAAAUAUAGUUAAAGGCUUUAAUACAUUUAUCUCUUAUCUACUAAUGCUCUCUCUUCUUUGAGUUGUGUAUGAGUUACAAAUUAUGAGUAUAGGUUACAAAAAACUUUAAAUUAAAGAAGUUUUGAUCAUCAUAAAAAAAGGGGAGAUUGUUAGUAAAAUCAUGAAGCAUAGAAGUUUUGAUGAUGCUCAAAUAAAGUCUCAAGUGCUCACUUUGCAAGAAGACUUUCAUGAAGUAUUGUUUUAUGUGUUAAAACUUUUGUAAUGAGUAGUUUUAUGUGUAGGGCUUUAUAUGUUGUUGAUUCCAUGUAAAUUAUGCUUUAAAAUUUGUUUUGGAAUCAAAAAGCUCUUCAAUAAUUGAUUAACUGCUUAAGAUAAUCGAUUAUCACAUAGAUAGAAGUUUUUAAAGAUUGCUAAAAACUCAUUUUGGCUGUGGAAUCAUCGAUUACCAAAUCGAUUGACUUACCAUAAUCGAUUAUUACAACUAGCCAUUGGAGUUUUUUAGCAUGUUUUUGGCAGUUGUGCAUUCAUUAAAUACAUAAUCAAUUACCAUAAGUAGAUAAUCGAUUAUUACGCGAGAAAAAGCUGACAAUGGAUUUUUGGAGGUGUCCUCGAGUGAGGUCUUUAUAAAGAUGUUUUAGACUUUCAUUCUAACACAACUGUUUUUGUUUUAAACUGAAAAGGUGUGACCUAGGGGUUAUGUUGUGUUUUAGCUUUGAGAACUUGGUGUUGGCAAAAGCGAGAACUUUCAUUGGAGUGUGAUUGAGUGUUGCUGUAGUUGUUGAGUGAAGUCUGUCAUCCUUUGUGAAGAUUCAAAGGAAGUGUUUAUCAGGCAUUCAGAGGAGGUGUUCAUCCCUUGUGGUCUUGAGGGAAAGUGAGUUUCAUCUCCUAAGGCAUCCUUAACGCCAAGUGGAGCAGCAAAGCAUCCCAAAGCACAGUAGUCAAAUUAUUUCUGAAAAUUCCAACACAAGCAGCUGGUUCAGGGAAGCCUCUACAUACCACACCAGUGUUACAUUACCCACCCGACUUGAAUAAUCUUGAUAAGGAUGUCCAGAUACAACAAAGGCUUUUAUUAUAUCAAUUUAAUAUUGUUAUUCACAAUACCAGCACAAGAACUACCUGCAAGAUUAGCAUUUGCAGAAAUUCUCUUCUUCAGACCAUGUAGAUUCCAAGAGAAGUGUGAUCAAUGGGAAUUCUGAUAAAAUGGGUAAAGUCAAUACCACAACCUGGAAAAAGGGCAGUGAAGAAAGAUAUGACCAGCUGUUUCCUCAUGCCGACAACUAUGACUGUGAAUGAUUUAGAAGGAGAGAUUGCCUUGUUCCAGAUGUUAUUUUGUUUUAGCCAUGAUCUGUCCAUACCCUUUUUAUGUGCUUUUAUCCUUGUUUCAUUGAAUGCAUGCCAUCAGUUGUAUUUUCCCAUGUCAUACAAUCUUGGCUGUCACAAAAAGGAAUAGAAAUUCUACUGACCUCACAGCAACCAGAUCAGAAUGGUUUUUGUACCAAAAUUCCAGGGAUAUUUCAUUUAUGAUUCUGAAUAAAAUCUGCAACAGAAGCUUUCAAAGAAUGAAGUUGUCAGGAAAUAUUUAGAGUUUCUACAAUAGGCCUCGUAUCUACCCAAAAGUUGUUGUUCUUCCCAUCUCCUAACUGGCUUCUUGUAAUGUGAUUAAGAACUUCCUCAAUAUUGUAUUUUAUCCCUGCCGGAAUAGAAGGAAGGAGCUAGAAGGCUUAACUCUUCUCAUAACCCUUGCUUGAAUGAUUUUUCCCAUUCAGUUGACAACUAACAUUUUCCAACCAGGUUUAAGCAUUGCUGGUUGUUUGAUAUCAUAAAUGAGUUUCCAUCCAAGACCCCUUCUGUUGUAGGACGACAAACCUUACCCCUUGUUCAAACGAAGCAUAUCCUUUUUGUCUUUAAGAUAAUUGUACGGUUUUUGUAUGACAUAGUAUACUCAUUUAGACCAGCGUAGCAAUUAGAGAACUUAUGCAUUGUUGAACUUUAUGUGGAAAAGACUUGCAUUUUAUGUGUAACUAACCUGAAAGGCCACCAUUAAACUCUCUAUCCACUCGAAGUUUGAAGGGAUGAGAAAGUUGUGGAAUGAAAAAUUCUUGAUGUUUAAUUUGAAUAUUCUUUACAUAUAAUUUCUGCUUUCCUCUUGUGGAUAAAAGGGGAAGUUUGCUGAUAGGAAGUUGAUUGAUGUUAGGUCGUUCAAGAAACAAUAAAUGUUGGUACAGAGAUUGCAGCAGCUCUUAAGGCUCAGACGGAACAAAUGAGCAGAGUUGUCAAUGAGCUGGAUUCGAUCCAUUUCUCUUUAAAGAAAGCAAUCGAAUUGGUCAAGGAAAUCGGUAGGCGGCUUGUGCACCCGGAGAACAAGGAGGACAUUCGCGACAUUCCAGGACUGGCUCCUCCAGUUCAGAACCGAAGACUGCUUUGGAGUCACAGUUGAAGAGUUAAAAUGAACAUGAUGAUGACUGAUAAGCUUAUGACAAAUGCGUUGAGGACACUAAAAUGAUCAUGUUUAUGACCUGACCAAAUUGAUUUGACGCUCUUUGGUUUGAUGGUGAUGACAUCGGAUGAAGUUAUUACCAGAAACACAGUUGCCAUUAAUUGAGUUUGUUAUUACAUAAUAUUAGAAGAGGGGUUGGUUGGCCUGAUGCAUAAUAGAACGUGGGUCUAGGAAUGCACGCUGGACUUUUUCUUGAACCGAACCAUUUUUACUACUAUACAGGUUCUGUCUAUCGAAUCAUAGGGAAAGCCAAACAAAUGGGCCCUCGAGAUUCUUUGUUGGUUGUCUUUCUGUCAAUCGUGUAAUGUACGGUGCUAUUUACUGUAUACUUUCACUUCUAAAAAACCUACCUAGUAUUAUCAAUUUAUAAUAUAAGCACUGAUUUAUCAU